rnacentral:rRNA from 1 species
CCCGGUAGCUAAAUGCGGAAGAGAUAAGUGCUGAAAGCAUCUAAGCACGAAACUUGCCCCGAGAUGAGUUCUCCCUGACUCCUUGAGAGUCCUGAAGGAACGUUGAAGACGACGACGUUGAUAGGCCGGGUGUGUAAGCGCAGCGAUGCGUUGAGCUAACCGGUACUAAUGAACCGUGAGGCUUAACCUU